CAAGAAUCCAGUCGGUACAUUGAUGACAUCUCUGUCAAUAGUACUGAGUACAAGCGCCCAGCUUUGGAUACAGCUCUGUCUGUGGGCUCCAGCAUGCUGUGAGAGUCUGUGUAUGUGUGUAUGUUCUGUUCUGUUCAUGCUGUUCUGUUCAUCAGUACAUCAUCUCUUCUCCUCAGAGCAACUGUCAAUGGUGAAAUGGUGUGUGGGUGUCCGACACAGUAAUGGGUCAAUCACUCCGAAAAUAAGACUUUUUCUUCUGACUGAGCACGGAAGAGCUCUGUUCUCACCUAAUGUUGUGAAGCAUACUUAAAGGAGAGAGAGGCCUAACAUGACCUGUCCUGAUCCACAUCCCCAUCUAUUCACAAAGUGGUCCACGAGCCUGCGAUGCAAAGCAAAGCGACAAUGGGAUCAGUCCGCAUUUGCAUUAUGAGCACACAAUGCAUGACACAAGCUUGCCCAGAGAGAUAUUUCUGCUCAGAAAAUAUCUGGCUUCAGAAGGAUGUGUCUGCAGUGCUCAGCAUCACUCCACUGACUAUGUCUCUUGCUUAUUAACAAACCAGCCUGUCACUUUAUAAACCCUGUUUCAGCUUUCCCUCAGCCGCACACACAUACACAUCAUGAAAUACACUUAGACAAUGACAAACACACAAAUUGUCCAGUCAGUUUAAGUGAAACUCUCACCGUGCACAUGUCAUGUUAGUCACACAGAGCAUGUUGAGGUUUUAAUACAGUAAUGCAUACUAGAAAUGUUAUUAAGAAGGUGGGAAUAAUGAUUAAAAAAAAAAUAAAAAAAAUUGGGGGGUUUCCA
ensembl:lncRNA